rnacentral:rRNA from 1 species
CCCUUAGAUGUUCUGGGCCGCACGCGCGCUACACUGACAGAGCCAGCGAGUUUUUAACCUUGGCCGGAAGGUCUGGGUAAUCUUGUGAAACUCUGUCGUGCUGGGGAUAGAGCAUUGCAAUUAUUGCUCUUCAACGAGGAAUUCCUAGUAGGCGUGAGUCAUCAGCUCGCGUCGAUUACGUCCCUGCCCUUUGUACACACCGCCCGUCGCUACUACCGAUUGAAUGGCUUAGUGAGGUCUCCGGAUCGGCAGCGGGGAGCCGGCAACGGCACUCUGUUGCUGAGAAGCUGAUCAAACUUGGUCAUUUAGAGGAAGUAAAANUCGUANCA